rnacentral:rRNA from 1 species
GAUGAACGCUGGCGGCGUGCCUAAUACAUGCAAGUCGAGCGAACAGACGAGGAGCUUGCUCCUCUGACGUUAGCGGCGGACGGGUGAGUAACACGUGGAUAACCUACCUAUAAGACUGGGAUAACUUCGGGAAACCGGAGCUAAUACCGGAUAACAUGUUGAACCGCAUGGUUCAACAGUGAAAGACGGUCUUGCUGUCACUUAUAGAUGGAUCCGCGCCGCAUUAGCUAGUUGGUAAGGUAACGGCUUACCAAGGCAACGAUGCGUAGCCGACCUGAGAGGGUGAUCGGCCACACUGGAACUGAGACACGGUCCAGACUCCUACGGGAGGCAGCAGUAGGGAAUCUUCCGCAAUGGGCGAAAGCCUGACGGAGCAACGCCGCGUGAGUGAAGAAGGUCUUCGGAUCGUAAACUCUGUUAUUAGGGAAGAACAAAUGUGUAAGUAACUAUGCACGUCUUGACGGUACCUAAUCAGAAAGCCACGGCUAACUACGUG